GAUGAACGCUGACAGAAUGCUGAACACAGGCAAGUAGGUGGGGAAGUGGUGCUUGCACCAUGGCAACCAUGGCGGACGGGUGAGUAACGCGUAAGGGACUUACCUGCAGGCCGGGGAUAACAGGGGGAAACUCCUCACAAGACCUGAUAAUGUCAUCGAGCUGCAUGGCGUUAGGAUGAAAGGAGACGCCUGCGGAGAGCCUUGCGUCCUAUUAGCUAGUUGGUGAGGUAAUGGCUCACGAAGGCGAAGAUAGGUAGCCGGCCUGAGAGGGUCGACGGCCACAAGGGGACUGAGAUACGGCCCUUACUCCUACCGGAGGCAGCAGUGGGGAAUAUUGGACAAUGGGCGCAACCCUGAUCCAGCAAUUCUGUGUGCACGAAGAAGCUUUUCGGAGUGUAAAGUGCUUUCAGCAGGGAAGAAGUAAGUGCCGGUACCUGCAGAAGAAGCGACGGCUAAAUCCGUG
rnacentral:rRNA from 1 species